CCCACCCUCUGUCGCUCUGCGCCGGGUCUCUCUCAGCCUUCGGUGGAGGGCGGCGCGCUUAGGCAGGCGGCGGGGCGGCUAGAGUGCCGCGGGGAGGGCUGUGCCGGGUUGCUUUUUGCAGCCGCGUCUCGGCCAGCUCUCCUCGCCGUCCCCGGGGCGCUGUGCGUCUCCAGUCCGGACCGAAGCCGCCUGCCGUAGCGGGCGGCCAGAUCCGCGUCCCGCCUCAGCGCCCGGAGGACAUGCGGGAGAGAGAAUGAGCCAGAGGGACACGCUGGUGCAUCUGUUUGCCGGGGGAUGUGGUGGUACAGUGGGAGCUAUUCUGACAUGUCCACUGGAAGUUGUAAAAACACGACUGCAGUCAUCUUCUGUGACACUUUAUAUUUCUGAAGUUCACCUGAACACCAUGGCUGGAGCCAGUGUCAACCGAAUAGUGUCUCCUGGACCUCUUCAUUGCCUAAAGUUGAUCUUGGAAAAAGAAGGGCCACGUUCCUUGUUUAGAGGAUUAGGCCCCAAUUUAGUGGGGGUAGCCCCUUCCAGAGCAAUAUACUUUGCUGCUUAUUCAAACUGCAAGGAAAAGUUGAAUGAUGUAUUUGAUCCUGAUUCUACCCAAGUACACAUGAUUUCAGCGGCAAUGGCAGGUCACUUCCUGUAGAAAUAUGGACUAACUUAAACCUCGUUUUACUGCAAUCACAGCAACCAACCCCAUUUGGCUUAUAAAGACUCGGUUACAGCUUGAUGCAAGGAACCGUGGGGAAAGGCGAAUGGGUGCUUUUGAAUGUGUUCGUAAAGUGUAUCAGACAGAUGGACUAAAAGGAUUUUAUAGGGGCAUGUCUGCUUCAUAUGCUGGUAUAUCAGAGACUGUUAUCCAUUUUGUUAUUUAUGAAAGUAUAAAGCAAAAACUACUGGAAUGUAAGACUGCUUCUACAAUGGAAAAUGAUGAAGAGUCUGUGAAAGAAGCAUCAGAUUUUGUGGGAAUGAUGCUAGCUGCUGCCACCUCAAAAACUUGUGCCACAACUAUAGCAUAUCCACAUGAAGUUGUAAGAACAAGACUACGUGAAGAGGGAACAAAAUACAGAUCUUUUUUUCAGACACUAGCUUUGCUCGUUCAAGAAGAAGGUUAUGGGUCUCUUUACCGUGGUCUGACAACUCAUCUAGUGAGACAGAUUCCAAACACAGCCAUUAUGAUGGCCACCUAUGAAUUGGUGGUUUACCUACUCAAUGGAUAGCAGCAUGAGGGCUGCUGUACUACAAAAAAAGAAGACCAAAAGAUGACAGUGGACCAUGGAAUAUGGAAGCCAGCAUGGCAGACAGAAGAAAAUUAGUUUGGGAACAUGUAACUAUUAUAAGUGGAAGUUUUGUUGUAGGAAUUAUAGUGAUCACACCACAUUUCUUGGCCUUUCAGUAAUGUGGAGAAAAAAAAAAAAAACCUCAGAACCUCCAAGGAAAUGCCUUUAGAAGCACUCCUCUCUCAAAAUUGCCAUUCUCUCUACCAUGUCCACCAGACACAGUUGGGUUUUAUUGAUUUAUGGCAGUCUUUUAAACAAAGCCAUCUUUAAUUUUACAUACUGUAUUGUAACUAUCCAAAGAUAGUAUUGGCAGUCAUAAAUCUAUAACUUCUGGCUUUUGUUUAAUUCCAGUAAAAUCACAACAAUGACAAUGAGAUCGUCAGUAUUAUUUUCACAUUUCCCUGAGAGGACCUGGCACAAUAUUUUAUAUUUAAUUAUUUGCAGUAGUCACUGUUUUUGACAACCAAUGAAAUAGCGUCUAAAUAUCUUGUGUAUUUUUUAGCAUCAAAAUGUUUCAGUUUCCACUGCUAACAGGUGCUUGAUGUUUAGCCUAAUGUGGAUAUUUAAAUUGUUAACAUACCAAACACACAUGGUAAUAGUUUGGGACAAAAUAACUAGUAAAUUGUUGAUUCUUGGCUAUUUCGCUGACUGCGGCAUGUCCUCAUGUCUUCUUUAAUUUUGUGGUACAUGAAUGAAUGCAUUUAUCUUUCAGUGACUUACUAGUUAUGAACUUGAAUUAUCACCUGUUUGUCAUACUUAAGUAUCAUUUACAUAAAGUAUAAAACAUUUUUCACUUUUGAAUCUUUCCCUACUUUCACAUUAAGAAUUUGAACUUUUGGGUUUUUUCCAGGUCUAUAUAUGAUAGAUUACAUUUAUUUUGUAGAGAAAAUAGUAAUUUAAAGUUUUGCCAUUUUAAGGUGACGUUAAUAUUUGGGACAGUAUAAAUAUUACAGACAAGGGCCUCGUUGCUAUCUGCUUUAGCAGGUAGUAACAUUAAUUAACUUCUAGUUUUGUGUAAAUAAACAAACUGCUUUUGACAAGAAAUUUAUUCUGUCCUAGUUUCCUGAGUGGUAAAUCAUAGAAAGAUUCAAGUUCAUUUGGGUUAAAUGUGCUAACAGGAUGUAGCUUUUAAAUUUUGCUAUUGAGUCAGCUGUACCUUUUAAUACUUUAAAUGUGUUACAUGUAUGGCCCUUAUAAAGAUGUUUGCUGUAAUUCUUUUAAAAGACUUCGCCUAUGCUAUUCUGGUGUAUAAAAACUGCCACGAUUGGACGCCAAUGUGGUACUCAUUUCAGUACCUGAACUGUACAUUUUGUGCAAUGGCUUUAUCUAAAAGAAUGACUCUUUGUGAAAGCACUUUGUGGCCUUUUGGGGACGGGGGUGGUGAGAGAGUAGGAGAGAAUACCAUGUUAAGAUUUAAAAAAAAAAAAAAUUGAUCGUGUAUUAGGCAGAAACAGUGUUCAUAACAUUUUUCUGGGUUUUAAGUAUGUUGUUUUGGAGAUCCUUAAUAUAAAUGUUUUCGGUAUUCUGUGUACCCUGUUGUGCCGCCAAUGUUAUAGAUACUGCAGCGUGUCAUCGCAAGCUUUCUCUGCUGUCACCAAUGAAACAUAGUGCCCUGUUAAAUUCCCCCAUUUUAACUUCCUUGUGGUCAACAGUAACUGGAUGUUUUUGAGGUGCUCGAUUGGAAUAAAAAUAUUCCAAUCUAUUUGGAGACCAAAGGCAAAAUCAGUUUUCUUACCUUUGGAAUUAUUCGUACCUUUCAUGGUAAAUUUCAGCUUUGACACAUAUUAUGAGGAACAUACCAAAAACGGGUUCGUAAUAAAUCUGUAGAGAAGGUCUGAAUCUAUCGUGUUUGCCUUUUCAGGUGCCAUUUCUACUGCCUAAUACAGUGCCAUUUGCCUUGUGAAGACCCAUAAACAUUCAUUGUGUUGAAUGUAAGAUACUCUCCCUAGUCUUACUGAUCUCAGUACCCCACAAAUGAUUAAGAAUGAUAUGAAAACCAGCAGCUAAGGAACAUCUUAUUAUUUAGUUGUAGCAUAUUCAUAACAAGUGUCCUUCAAGGAUGAACAUAUAUUCUCUUUCUAUUUGUAUUUAUCAAGUAAAAGUUGUGUUGACCUUUAGUGCAUUAUAUUCAGCUUUUGAAAGUAUUAUGUGUGUACUGGAAAGAAAAGAAAUCUUAGAGUCUUGGACAUUGUUUAUUUGUGCAACAACUAGAAAGGAGCAAUGAGGUUUAUUUCAGUUGUAUUUUUCCCUAAGCACAAUCUGCCAUAGUUUAUGUAUGACAGAGAUAAUUCAGAAAGGAAAACUAUAUAUAAAAGUUGUAUAUAAAGUUUGUCUCUGAAAUAUUUCCUUGAAGUUUUUAAAAAAUUGACUCAUGUUUAAAAACAAAAACAUUCAAAGCAUUGGACUUUUUUUUCAUAUGUUUAUCAUGACUUUUAUUUCUGGUGUAGAGGUAGUCCACAUUGUUUAGAUUGUAUGUACUUUUAAAUUUCAAAAUUCAAAUCUGAAGAAUUAGCAGUUGUGAUUUCGGGAUACCACGCAGUGCUUGUAAUCCCAAGAAAAAAAUCUAUCACCAAAAGUUGGCUUGAUUCUCAUUAUAUAACUUUGUAGAACCAUCCUUUCUAGAUGGGUCCCCCACAGUGGAUUUGUAACUUUGAAGUCAGGAUAGAAUAUCAUUAGAUUAUCUGUGGAACAGCAUUACUAUAUUAGGACCAGCAGAAUUUGGGUUGGUAAAAAUGUUUAUUUCUGGAUUACAAACAUUUCAGCAUUUUAAGAUUGGUUUUAAAUCACUAAAAAUAUUUAUUCAGAUGUGAAGGAUUUAAGUGCUAAAAAUCAAUCCAUUUCUUGCUCUUCAAGAAUUGUCCAUGCCUGCCUUUUGUUGUUUACAUGCUCUUCUGCCCAGACUGUUAGUAAUCUAGGGACCCCCUUUGGAACUGAUGAAUACAGUUCAGCCUUUUCUCCUCAAAUAUCUAAUGACUUUAACAUUCCUAAGAAUAUAGGUAUUUCUGAAUGAUUUAAAUUUGAGGGAUUUUAAUACAUAAAAUACAGUGUACAAACUUUCUGCCCACUCAGAUCUCUUCUCCAUCAUGUGCUUACAUUUCCCAUUAACCUACACACUGAUUUUUAUGCUACUCCUUGUAGAAACAAAAUUCUAGUUUGACUCAGUUUUUGUGUUUAUAAACUUUUGGAAUGUAUACCCCCGUGUAUGUGAACAAUUAGGACCUAUCAGUCAUAGCUAAAUAGUGAACCUCAAAAGUGUUAACUUUGGACUAUUCAUGUGAGGUUUGGUAUCUUGCAUUUAUGUACAUGGCUGUAAAUUAUGUGCAUUUACUCUGUAUUUAUGUUACCUAGCUUUUACUUGAAUUGUUCAAAUUUUAAAAAUUAAAAUACACUUAUGAAAAUA